AUGUCUGAGCAAGGAUGUGGUGGGUCCUCCGUUGCAAAAUUCUGGAUUUCCCUGGGUCUUUCGGUAGGACCUGUGAUCGACUGUGCUGACAACACAGGAACCAAAACUCUGUUUAUCAUCUCUGUGAAGGGAUCAAGGGACCACUGGGCAGACUUCAUGCUGCAGGUGUGGGUGCCAUGGUGAAGGCCACGGUGAAGAAACGCAAACCACAGCUCAGAAAGAAGGUACAUCCAGCAGUGGUAAAUCCACAAUGAAAGGCAUACUGGACAAAAGAUGGUGUGUUUAUUUUGAAGAUAACACAGGGGUCAUGGUAAACAAUAAAGGUGAAAUGAAAGAUUCAGCUAUCACAGGACCAGUUGCAAAGGAGUGUGCAGACUUGUGGCCCAGGAUUGCAUCCAAUGCUGGCAGGAUUGCAUGAUUCUUUGUUGUAUUUGUUAAAAUAAAUAAA